GGAAAGGUGGCUGAGUGGUUUAAAGCACUGGUUUCGAAAACCAGCGUGGAGUAAAAUCCACCGCGAGUUCAAAUCUCGCCCUUUCCG
rnacentral:tRNA from 1 species